AGAUCUCUCGGCUACACCAACUCUCUGUCCAACCACCAUUGGAUGCUUCUUUUCGGUUGUCCACAGGCCUUCUUAUAGGCCCCAGAACCCAAACAAUAUUGGAAACAAAUUCUUAAUUGCAUCAAACAGUGUCCCAGAGCCACAAAUCAAAAUCAAGAACCAUACGAGCCAUCAGAUUAUGCAUCCGCACCGAUCGAUCCAUAGACACUCCCAUGAACCACAAGAAACCCCUGGAGAAAUGGUGCUGGUCCAUCAUGGACUGUGUAAAACCCAGGGAAAUACCUCCCUAGUCUAUG
rnacentral:lncRNA from 1 species